UUUUUCGCAGGGUUUAGGUUUCUUUCUUUCUUCUUCCUCCUAUCCAUUUCAGCUUACAGUCCCGAAGGUAUCCCGAUUUCCGGGAAGAAAAAGCAGAGACACAGGAUUAAUCCUUAUUCUUCUUCAAGGCAGUAAGUUCAAAGUGUUGGACACUAGCUACUGAGAUGACUGCGUCUGGACUGAUUGGUAGUCCAUCAAGAUGUUGCUUCCGGAUGCCUAUAAAUGUUCAAGGGUCAUUGCGCAAGCAGUUUUCAGCUUCUUCAAGUCUUGGGAAAAAAAGAGAAAAGGCUGAGUUUGUCCACCUUGAAAGGUACAGAAAGCACCGGAUUAUUUUUAUUCAGAGACAUGGGACACGACAAACUCACUUGAUUAAGUGUGCAAUGGAUGCUUCAUAUGAGGAUAUUGCAAAUGAACCAGCUGGUAAUAUUCACCUUUGCGUUUUUUAUGAUUAUUG